UGUUUUGCCGACGUGCAGCGCGAUGGGGAGGGCGUGGUGGAAUUUCUCCGCCGAGAGGACAUGGAUUACGCUUUGCGCCGACUGGAUCGCACAGAGUUCCGUUCUCACCAAGGUGAGACCGCUUACAUCCAUGUCUACGAGGAUAGAGGCACCCCCAACUGGGGUCGCUCGCGGUCCCGCUCCAGAUCCAGAGGACGCUUUUCGCCGCCCUACCGAGGAUCACCACCACCACGUUACCAGUCCCCUCCUCGCAUGUCCCGCCAUAGUCCGCCUCGGAGAUCAUCCAACCACAGCCCGCCACCUCGUCACUACCGCUAAAAGCUUAGGAUUCACGGAGGAAACUAAGGAGAAUGUUCUUUUUUUUUUUUUAAACCACCUUUGCCAUCGUAAGACUUUGUUUCUUCCUGCAUACAUUCCAUGGCUACUUCCCUUUUUGUGUGUGUGUGUAACUUUAAUAUCCUUGUGUGUUGUCUCCGCGCAAGAUUUUGACCCAUUUGAUAUGCAUCCUGAAUUAGUUUGCUCAAAUUACUUUUCACAAUGUUAAAAUAUCGAGCAGGUAUAGCUUUGCAGCUUUAGCUUAGAAAAUUGUUUUCGUGUAGAAUCUGAUGCUAAUCUGAUUUAGAACAAAUUAGUGAAACUUCAAAUCUCGACACUGCAAACCAUAUUUUUUUGUAAGCAUCUGACUGAAGUAGAUGGAAUUACCAUUUUGUGUGCAUCUGUACUUUUACAAUAAAAUGUUAACUUUC